GACGAACGCUGGCGGCGUGCCUAAUACAUGCAAGUAGAACGCUGAAGGAGGAGCUUGCUUCUCCGGAUGAGUUGCGAACGGGUGAGUAACGCGUAGGUAACCUGCCUGGUAGCGGGGGAUAACUAUUGGAAACGAUAGCUAAUACCGCAUAAGAGUAGAUGUCGCAUGACAUUUGCUUAAAAGGUGCAACUGCACCACUACCAGAUGGACCUGCGUUGUAUUAGCUAGUUGGUGAGGUAACGGCUCACCAAGGCAACGAUACAUAGCCGACCUGAGAGGGUGAUCGGCCACACUGGGACUGAGACACGGCCCAGACUCCUACGGGAGGCAGCAGUAGGGAAUCUUCGGCAAUGGACGGAAGUCUGACCGAGCAACGCCGCGGGAGUGAAGAAGGUUUUCGGAUCGUAAAGCUCUGUUGUAAGAGAAGAACGAGUGUGAGAGUGGAAAGUUCACACUGUGACGGUAUCUGACCAGAAAGGGACGGCUAACUACGUG
rnacentral:rRNA from 1 species